GCGAGAUUAGUUUAAUGGUAGAACUACAGAUUUCCAAUCUGUUGGUGGGAGUUCGAUUCUCCCAUCUCGCACAA
rnacentral:tRNA from 2 species